rnacentral:lncRNA from 1 species
CUAGGUGACGGACGACGGGGUGGAGAUGUCAAUAAAGGUGUGUCAAUGUAGGUUGUUUGGUCUGGUUGACGUGAUUAUAAAGAAGAUGAAGUGAUCGUUUGGUUCACGUCGAUCCUGUCCGGCUAGGUAUGCGACGAGAGGUGUGGUUGACUGGUGAGUGUCGUUUGAAAGGGGUCUGGAGCAUUUGGUGGUCAUUGGGCAGGAGGCCGGAAGGAGAACCGGUGGGGCAACAGUCGUGAUAUGCCGCUGGAAUGGGAAGGGCAGCCAUGGUUGUGGAGCUUGGGUGGUUUCAGGGUUUGGUGGCUAGGGAGGAUGGUUUGGAGAAGAUGAAGAGAAAGGGGUGGGUGUUUCGGUG